AUACGGAGGAUGCGAGCGUUAUCCGGAUUUAUUGGGUUUAAAGGGUGCGUAGGCUGUGCGUUAAGUCAGGGGUGAAAUGCCGUCGCUCAACGACGGAGCUGCCCUUGAUGCUGGCGUGCUGGAGUACGGAUGCCGUUGGAGGAAUGAGUGGUGUAGCGGUGAAAUGCUUAGAUAUCACUCAGAACACCGAUUGCGAAGGCAUCUGACGAAUCCGUCACUGACGCUAAAGCUCGAAGGUGCGGGUAUCGAACAGGAUUAGAUACCCUGGUAGUCCGCACGGUAAACGAUGGAUGCCCGCUGUUUGCGAUAUACUGUGAGCGGCCAAGAGAAAUCGUUAAGCAUCCCACCUGGGGAGUACGCCGGCAACGGUGAAACUUAAAGGAAUUGGCGGGG
rnacentral:rRNA from 1 species